GAUGAACGCUGGCGGCGUGCCUAAUACAUGCAAGUCGAGCGAACAGACGAGGAGCUUGCUCCUCUGACGUUAGCGGCGGACGGGUGAGUGACACGUGGAUAACCUACCUAUAAGACUGGGAUAACUUCGGGAAACCGGAGCUAAUACCGGAUAAUAUAUUGAACCGCAUGGUUCAAUAGUGAAAGACGGUUUUGCUGUCACUUAUAGAUGGAUCCGCGCCGCAUUAGCUAGUUGGUAAGGUAACGGCUUACCAAGGCGACGAUGCGUAGCCGACCUGAGAGGGUGAUCGGCCACACUGGAACUGAGACACGGUCCAGACUCCUACGGGAGGCAGCAGUAGGGAAUCUUCCGCAAUGGGCGAAAGCCUGACGGAGCAACGCCGCGUGAGUGAUGAAGGUCUUCGGAUCGUAAAACUCUGUUAUUAGGGAAGAACAAAUGUGUAAGUAACUAUGCACGUCUUGACGGUACCUAAUCAGAAAGCCACGGCUAACUACGU
rnacentral:rRNA from 1 species